rnacentral:lncRNA from 1 species
GCCCUCUGGGCAGUCCCAAGAAAAGCUAUGGCUACAAUUGGUCCAUGUAAAGUAGAAGGAAGGCACAGGAAAUGACGAAAGGAAGGGUCUUUAAAAGUGGCAAGAACUUCCUGUGACUAGCUCUUUUGCCUUUGAACUUGACUUUGAAGGAGCUCCGGCUUGGGACCUUGGACUGCUCUUCAAUUUUGCCCUAGAACUACCACGUGGAUAAGGAAACAGAGACUGAAGGAGUUUAAGUGUCCAGGGUUACAACAGCUAGGAAGUGUGUGAGGCUGGAUUCAAUUCCCAGUGUUACAGACUCCAAAUACAAGCCAGGCUCCCCACUGGAGGAGAAACAAAGAUGCCUACAGGCGCCUGGGUCUGUUUAGAGGACAAGUAAAAGACCAGUGUUGGUGAAUGGCAAAGUAAUUAGCCUUUGGAUGAAGAGAAGAGAACGGUGCCUAUUUUUAAGGGAAAAAAGCCAGUAUGCUCCCAGAACCUUGAUUUCUUCUUUGUUGUUGUGAAACAGAGAAAUGACUAACGGGUUGGGGAAUGGCUGAAAU